rnacentral:rRNA from 1 species
ACUCCUACGGGAGGCAGCAGUGGGGAAUUUUGCGCAAUGGGGGAAACCCUGACGCAGCAACGCCGCGUGAGUGAUGAAGGCCCUUGGGUCGUAAAGCUCUGACAGAGGGAAAGAAAUGCAGGGGAGCUAAUAUCUCCCUUGCUUGACGGUACCCUCAAAGGAAGCACCGGCUAACUCCGUGCCAGCAGCCGCGGUAAUACGGGGGGUGCAAGCGUUGUUCGGAUUUAUUGGGCGUAAAGCGCGUGUAGGCGGUUUUAUAAGUCUGAUGUGAAAGCCCUGGGCUCAACUCGGGAAGUGCAUUGGAUACUGUAAGACUUGAAUACGGGAGAGGGCAGUGGAAUUCCUAGUGUAGGAGUGAAAUCCGUAGAUAUUAGGAGGAACACCGGUGGCGAAGGCGGCUGCCUGGACCGAUAUUGACGCUGAGACGCGAAAGCGUGGGUAGCAAACAGGAUUAGAUACCCUGGUAGUCCACGCCGUAAACGAUGAGAACUAGGUGUCGCGGGUA